CCUACGGGUGGCAGCAGUAGGGAAUAUUGCACAAUGGGGGAAACCCUGAAGCAGCAACGCCGCGUGGAGGAUGAAGGUUUUCGGAUUGUAAAGUUCUAUCGUCAGAGAAGAGAAUGACGGUAUCUAAAUAAUAAGCACCGGCUAACUCCGUGCCAGCAGCCGCGGUAAUACGGAGGGUGCAAGCGUUACGCGGCGUUACUGGGUGUAAAGAGCGCGUAGGCGGGAUAACAAGUCAGAUGUGAAAUGCUGUGGCUUAACCAUAGAACUGCAUUUGAAACUGUUCAUCUAGAGUGCGGGAGAGGUAAGUGGAAUUCUUAGUGUAGAGGUGAAAUGCGUAGAGAUUAGGAGGAAUACUCGUGGCGAAGGCGGCCUACUGGACCGUAACUGACGCUGAGGCGCGAAAGCGUGGGGAGCAAACAGGAUUAGAUACCCCUGUAGUC
rnacentral:rRNA from 1 species